rnacentral:misc_RNA from 1 species
AAAACUGGGUUUUGACCUUUAAAAAGUUUUAAAACCGCAAUACUUUUUUUCAUGUCUAACAGAACUUCAUGAAACGCAGUGGAUAUUGUUAGUGAUUUUAUUAAUGGAUUGGAAAUUGUUUUGUAAACUGAAAGUGCAUGUAUUUAUUGGUAUUAAACAGAUGCAUUUGUGAUGCCUUGUUGCCUUCAUAAAUCCUGAUUUGUUGAUAUAUUCGAAUGCGUGCUUAACAUAUUGCACAUAAAAAUAAAAGAAAUUAAAACAGC